GACGAACGCUGGCGGCGUGCCUAAUACAUGCAAGUCGAACGAGUGGCGGACGGGUGAGUAACACGUGGGAACCUACCCAUCAGAGGGGGAUAACUACUGGAAACGGUAGCUAAUACCGCAUACUAUCAGAUGAGCCUAGGUCGGAUUAGCUAGUUGGUGGGGUAAAGGCCUACCAAGGCGACGAUCCGUAACUGGUCUGAGAGGAUGAUCAGUCACACUGGAACUGAGACACGGUCCAGACUCCUACGGGAGGCAGCAGUGGGGAAGAUUGGACAAUGGGCGCAAGCCUGAUCCAGCCAUACCGCGUGGGUGAAGAAGGCCUUCGGGUUGUAAAGCCCUUUUGUUGGGAAAGCGGUACCCAAAGAAUAAGCACCGGCUAACUUCGUGCCAGCAGCCGCGGUAAUAC
rnacentral:rRNA from 1 species